UACGUAGGGAGCGAGCGUUGUCCGGAUUUACUGGGUGUAAAGGGUGCGUAGGCGGCUUGGCAAGUCAGUAGUGAAAUCCAUGGGCUUAACCCAUGAACUGCUAUUGAAACUGUCGAGCUUGAGUGAAGUAGAGGUAGGCGGAAUUCCCGGUGUAGCGGUGAAAUGCAUAGAUAUCGCGCAGAACUCCGAUUGCGAAGGCAGCAUGCCGGCUCCACACUGACGCUGAGGCACGAAAGCGUGGGUAUCGAACAGG
rnacentral:rRNA from 1 species